GGCCUGGUGGUCUAGUAGUAUGAUUCCUUCUUAGGGCUUGGUUGCCAUUUGGAGGAGGUCCCGGGUUCAAUUCCCGGCCAGGCCC